rnacentral:rRNA from 1 species
AGUGAACGCUGGCGGUAGGCCUAACACAUGCAAGUCGAACGGCAGCACAGUAAGAGCUUGCUCUUACGGGUGGCGAGUGGCGGACGGGUGAGGAAUACAUCGGCAUCUACUUUUUCGUGGGGGAUAACGUAGGGAAACUUACACUACUACCUCAUACGACCUACGGGUUAAAGCAGGGGAUCUUCGGACCUUGCGCGAUUUUAUGAGCCGAUGUCGGAUUAGCUAGUUGGCGUGGUAAAGUCCCACCAAGGCAACGAUGCGUAGCUGGUCUGAGAUGAUGAUAAGCAACACUGGAACUGAGACACGGUCCAGACUCCUAAGGGAGGCAGCAGUAGGGAAUAUUGGGCAAUGGGCGAAAGCCUGAUACAGCAAUAACGCGUGAGUGAAGAAGGACUUCGGAUUGAAAAGCUCUUUUGUUGGGAAAGAAAAAAAGCGUGAGUAAAUAUGGAUGUCUUGACGGUACCUAAAGAGAAAGCCACGGCUAACUUCGUG